GGAUCCAUCCUAAUCUCUGCUGGCCAGCCUGUGGCCUUCCAGGUUUCUCUUGUGGACCAGAGCACAAUGGAAGCCUCACCCUAGCCUGUGAGCAAGGCUUCGGUGUGCUCAGGCCAUGGGCACAUCUAUGUGACU